AAGAAGCAGAAGUUGGAAUUAGCAAGCCCCCAACCAAACUCCACCAGCUGUUCUGCAGACAUGACAGUUAUGCUUCCAAAGUUCACAUAAACAACAGAAUCAGCUUCUUUGGAAUCCAGCCACUGAAGACAUGUUUUUUCCUCUUCCCAAAGACUAUAUCCGAUGCUCUUCAGACCCUCUUUCUCGUCUAAGGGGAUUUGGUUGACGAGCAACUGAUAAGGGCCUAUUGUGUAUACACUGGUGGUGUACAUAGAUGAGAUGACGUCCACAAGUUCUUGUUCCAAGUCAUCGAAGGUAUGAAGUACUUGUGCUGUCCCAUUCUUUGCUCUCUGAGUAGAUUCCAGAAAGAAGUUGAACAUAAUAUCAUUUGGAUCUAUGAUUCUAAUGUGACUUGGAAGAUCCCUCAAACGAAUGUCUCGUAUUCCUGGAAUCCAGUCUAUAAUGGUGUCCAGAUACCCAUUGCUUAGGUAACUCUCAUCUGCAUGAGCAAAAUAGUUAUUGCAUACAUGUAACAUUACAAUAUAGUUAUUACAUGAACAUUUAGUUGUGACAAAAUCAUACCUUUUAAUGGUACAAGACCUCUAUCGCGGGCAUUUUUGAAUUGAUAAAAUCCCAUAAAUCCACAAGCAGCAAUUGUCCAAAGCAAAACGACAGGAAUUCCAAGAGAAUGUGCAGCAUCCGCUGUGAAUGGCAUGAAUCCGUCAGAGAGGAUUGAAGUGACUGGAUGAAUUCCAGCAUUGAGCUUUGCGAGGAGGUCCUCAAAUGCAGGUAACAAGUUGUUCUGUAUGAUAGAAUGGCAAAGUUGAGGUAUAUCUUGAGUGGCAUCAGCAUCAGAUGGAGGGAGGCCGUCAGGGAUGGUUUGGAAACUGAAACCAGGCAGGCUUUCGACAGACUCAAGAGCUCCUGACUUAAGGAAGCGUCUCUGAUUGAACUCCGUAUUCACAAAUGUAAUGAGAGCACCUUUGCUAUGAAGGAGCUUCGCCAUUUUCAGCAUUCCCUUCAUGUGGCUUUGAGCAGGGUAAGGUAUGCAAACUACAUGAGCCUGCUUCUCUGCCGCCUCUGCCUCUGAAUUCAUAGCUUCUCUAUCACGUUUUUUUCUUACUACAAUGAAAACAGCAAGCCCCUUUGGGAGCUUUAUAGUAACGUUUUCUUUAGAGUUAGCUGAAAAAAUUAGAGCAUAUUUAUCACUAUGCAUUGAUUGUUAAGUUCUGAACCUGAUUCGUGAAUUGUAUAUUGUUGGACAGGCAAUUUUGUCCAUGUUGAAUUCGGCAGAACUGAUCAUUCCUGUAAAUGUAAAUAUAUAUAUUUGUUUAUAUUCAAUUUCCUACAGUUUCUUGAAUGCUCAGAGAUAAAACAAAAACAUUGUUGUUCGGGUAUGAACUUUUUCACUCCAGUAAUAUCUUUUAUCAUUCAUGCUUGAACAUUUUCACUCUAAUGAAUUUGAAUUCUUCUUCAAUAAUACAGAAGCAAUUAUUACGAUAGAUUGAUAUCGACCACAAGAUUUGUAAAGAGUAAUGAAUGAUUGUCCAUACAACUGUAAAGAGUAAUGAAUGAUUUGUAACUGUAUCUUUUGGUACCUGGUCCAUAUAACUGUACAAUUAUCUCAUCUUCACUGCAAUAAAAUCAGAAUGGCAAAAUAUAAGGUACCUUAUAAUUCGGGACUAUCUCGUGAGCAUUUGCUACUGUGUCACAAAUUUAUCAAGCUUCCUAGUCAUUCAAAGAAUGAAACAAAAGAGCGGAAGCUGAGAAAGAGAAAGAGCUCGGAUCUCAUGAAAAUCAAACUAAAUUUUCUUUUCUCAGGUGGCGUUUAGUCGACAAGACAAAUAUUCAUAAGAUUCCCCAUACUCAUCAAAUUGCUCUCGUAUUGUUUUGUAGGGAAUCAUUCAGCUAUCACACCAGGAUUCAAGCCCGAAAAGGAGAGGAAGGUCCGGACAUAAGUGGAGUUAUCACUGUCCCCUGGCAUCUCUUCCUAGUUAAAGCAGGUUACUAAAUCUAUUAGAAAACCAAAUAAUAUGCCGUCCCAGUCCUGUUACAUAUUUUUUUUUUCUCCGGAACAGCAGGCCUCAGACGUGACUUUCUAGCAAUUAAAAAGUGGAUGCGUCCAAUUUUCUAUAUACGAAAUUCAAUGGGCGUUCUCAAACUGACAUUACGCUCUCAGCAUUUUUUUUGAGCGUAAUGGUAAGCAAAUCAGGGAAAUUGGUAUCGUGUAAAGUUCAAAAAUCAUGUGCAGAAUUUUAAGUAUAACUCUUUGUCGCAGGAAUAAAUUUUUUGUUAGGUUACAGACUUCACAUAUAAGCAGUUUGAAAAUAUAUGCUCAACUGAAAUCUUGGAGUAUGGCAUGGGAUUUGCUCAGUUCUACACUUCCUUUCUGGCUCUGCCCCUGUGUGGUGGUCAGGCAUCGUGUCAAGUAGAAGAUUGGUUGUUCUUGUUAGGAUCGCAUUUCCGAUAGAUUGAUGUUUAUUGACAAAAAUGAAAGUUAAAAACACAAAUAAUUAACAUGAAAAUCCUGAAAAGAGGGUAAAAUCACAAAUUCAUCCGGUAUGAAUGUAUUAUAAUACUGAGUCGCUCCCUCGGUCCCUCCCUCAACACUCUUGAAUACACGCACCUCAAUUUGCACCUCAAUUUGAUCACAAAUUUUUUUUCUUAUGUAUAUCCGGCACAACUCUAUUAUAAAGUUUUGAAUACAUAAAGUUUCAAUAACAAAUAUAUUUAUAGACACCACAAAUACAAUAAUCCUGAUUUAUUUUAAAUUUUAUUUAUGAUAAUUACCAUUUUAUUUGGAAGGAAAUACUUUCACAAUUAAUAGUUCUACCAAAAAUAAGGCUAUUUUAAUUAUUAUAAAUAAAAUAUCUUCUCAAAUUAGAAUUCUUAAAUUAUUUAGAAAAUCGUGGAGAACCCAAUGGUUUUUGGUUUCAAGGUGAUUGUAGAGAGUUUAACAAGUCUAACAUGAGUGGACGUAGAAGAUUUGUCUCGAAUAUAAAUAGUCAAUUAAUUCUAUUAAUAUACCUACGCAGUACGCUUCAAUUAUAGUGACAAUUGAGUGCCAAUGUAUGUCAAAAGUGAGAAGGUUGAGAAGUUAUUUGAAAAGAAAACUACAUCUAUUGCUAUUGCUGAAGAAGAUCUCAACUUAGUUGAGAAGAAUUCUUGAAACUUCAUGCUACUAUGUUAAAGGAUCAUAAAUUCAAAGCAGCUAGAGCCUCUGUUAGAGGAGGAGCUAGAGAAAGAGAAUGGAAAGAUAGAGAAAAAGGAAGGACUCUGACCGGAAGCCAAAGUACUGAGGCAACUGAACCUAAAAGAUCAACUCAGGACAUUAGGAUUGAAUAAGGUACAAGACAAUCUCAACGAACCUCAAUUCUGAUUAAUUCUCAACUUUCUAUAGUUGUUACCUUUGGAGAUGAAGAAAUUGCUAAAGAAGAAGAAGCCGCAUUCAUUCCAAGAAGAAGAACUCAAAACCUGAUCAGGCAAAUACUGACAAUCAAAAUCCUGACAGAACUCCGCCAUUUACUGACGAAGCUAACUCUGACAAUGCAAAUAUUGAUGCUCCGCCAGAACUGAUAAAAAUGUCAAUCCUGAUAGGAUUUCUAAUAAAGAUAGUGAUAUUUUGAAUGAGCGUAAGAGCGUCUCCAGGAGUCUUCUAGUAGUAUCCAAAAUAUAAUAUAAAAUAUAUGGCUUUUAGUCCUAUAGUGUAAUUUUAAGAGUGACAACUUCAACAAUGCUCUAUAUAUCCUCUCACUAUUGUAUAUUUUAAUGAAUUUUUUAUUGUUAAAAACAACUUAAGAGCCACUACAUGACUCUUAAAAUAUAGGAAAGAAAAGAAGCUCUUAAGCUUUUUAAGAGCCACUAAGAGUCUCUUGGAGCUCAAUUUUUAAUGAUCCUCUCUAUAUCCUGUGUUAGGAGCUUAUUUAAGAGUCUAUUGGAGAUGCUCUUUUGAGUUUCAUAAUGAUGAAAUUGACGAGGAAGAAGAAAAGAUAGAUCAAAUUGAUGAGGAAGAGAAAAGGAUUGCUCAAACUGUCAGAUGAAUGAAAGUGCAUAUGUCAAAGGUCUAAAGCAAUCAAGUUUAGCAAAUUGGUUUAAUCCUAAAGAUAAGAUUUAUAAGCUUUAUUUGAGCUAUGAACCAACCAAGAGAAGGAUAAGAAAUGAAAAUCUAUUAUUAAUUUGUAUUGCAGAGCACAAAUAUUCUAUAUAAUAAUAAUAAGAAAUACAAACAAGAAGGUUCUUAUUCCUUUAAAAUUUUAAAUUAUUUAUUAUAUAUUUAAAGAAUCUCGUUUGGAAAUACGAGGUGAUGAGCCCCUCAAUUUCAGUUUCUAUCCCUCCUAUUUUGAUGCCACCUUGAUUUAAUCUGCGAUGUACAUGUACUCUAAACGGUUCAUUUCACUAUUUAAACAUGCACAUUCAAACAAAUUUUAUAAUAAACAAACUUUUCUGUAUGCAAUUAGAUUUUUGAUUUCGAAACAAUGUUAUAUUUUCAUCUAUAAAAUACUAUUCGAUUAGUAAUUUUGAGGAGUCGUCAAUAGGGUUCAUGUCAUAACGGCACGGGCAUGCCAGACUGGGCAUGCCCUAGGCAUGCCUUUUGUCCAUUUGACAUGCUUUUUUACUAAUUUUUUAUAUAAAUAAUAAAAUUUAUAUAAAUAUUAUAUCUUAUAAAUAUUGAAAAUUUUAAAUAUAGUCCAACUUCAUAGUUAAAUAUUAGAUAAACUACUAAUAUAAGUUAGUAUCGUACUAAGUUCUGUUCUUAAUAUUUACUAACUUUUGUUAUAUUUGUAAGUGCACUUUAGUAUCAAUCCUAUAAUGAUGCGGCAGUUUUUACUAUAUUUAAUGGAAAAUGGCAUGCCAUUUGGGCAUGCCAUUUUGUAAAAUACAUGCCUAUAGGCAUGCCAGUGAGAACUGCCGUGAUAUGUACCCUAGUCGUCAAGCAGGGGGCCUCUUGCUAUCACGAAUUCAUCUCAACCACCUCAAUCCUCAUGGACUACUACGCCUGACAAUUUAUAUAUUAUUAAUCCUUUACUCUAUGUAAUCAGUAUUUCAGAGGUCAGACAAUUGUGGUAGUGGGUAUGGGUCACUCAUCAAUCUACCAUUUUCUAAUUUUCAUGAACAUAGACUGGGUUCUGCUGGCGGGUGUUGGCCCCUAUAUUAUUAAUAUCCUCGAUAUCACGGAUCCAGAAAAAUAUCCUAAAAAACUACAUUUUCCAGCUUCUAGCGUUCUGUUAGAAUUAAAGAACAUAUUGGGAAAAUUAAAUUACAGGUCUCUGAACUAUUGACAUUUUAUUGUUUAGGUCCCUGAACUAAAGAUUUUGUAUUUCAGGUCACUUAAUUUUUCUGUUUUCUAAUCUAAGUCCUACCGUUAAAAAGAUUCUAACGGUGUUAACUAGAGUUCUUGAGUUUCAUACAGAUCAAAGCAAUUUUGAAAGUGUUAAUGACAUCCAAAUUCAAAGUUCAAGUAGUCAAAUUGAAGCUUUAGUCGCUAGCGGCACUCGUAUGACACCAAUUUUCACAAACUAUGUUCAAUUCAAAAUUUUCUAAAUUCAGGUCCUUAAAUUCGCUAAAGAACCCUAAAUUUAUGGUCCAAUAUGGGGUUUUUUAAAAUUAAAUCUAUUUUGUGAAAUUUGUUGUCAUAUGAGUGUUGCUAGUGAUUCAAACUUCAAUUUGACUACUUGAAUUUUGAGUUUGGAUAUCAUUAACACCUUCAAAAUUUCUUUGAUCUAUAUGAAAAUCAAGAACCCUAGUUAACACCGUUAGAAUCUUUUUGACGGAAGGACUAAGAUCAGAAAACGAAAAAGUUAAGUGACCUAAAUUACAAAAUCUUUAGUUCAGGGAUCUACACAAUUAAACGUCAAUAGUUCGAGGACCUAUAAUUUAAUUUGCCCAAACUAAUUUAUGUAUCAUUUUCUUAUGAUUAAAAGAACAUAACGCUAGUUUUUGUAGAAUUCUAUAAGAUUAAAAGAACCAGACGCUACAUCGUGUGAUGAUUUGUCGGGAAUAAAAUAACAAUACGCUACAUGAUGUAACGAUUUUUAACGAUUUUUUUUUCCCCAAAUUGAAAACGUUGACGUUAAUAACUGAUAUUUAAAACCAUUUUUUCAAUCUGUUGUUAUUCUGGCAUUAGUUCUCCAUUUUGUGAGAUCUGGGACCAUUUAUCUUCAGCGGCCCCGCCCUUCCAUCUGUCUUCUUUAAUAUUGAGUUUUCAUUUUUUAAGAACAAGACAAUAUAAAACAUAUAAAUUUAUAUAUUUUCAUAAAAUGAUAAUUAGUUUUCUAAAUCAAAAAUAUUAAAUGCUGUCUAAAUAUUUAAAUAAAUGAAAUACCAUGUUAGUGCAAAAAUUUCAAUCGAAAUAAGUCUUUAUAUUUUAAUAAACAAGUUUACCCUAAUAUGCCCAUUAUUUUGGGAUCAUAUUUGUUGGUUAAAGUAAAUAUGAUGAUUACAAGUGAUUAGUAAACUUCACUUAUAAAUUAUUAUAAAUUAUCAAAAGUGUUUGAAUCAUUUUAUAUAUAAGUCUAUUGUGUGUUUGGUAAUUUAAAUUUAUAAAUUAAAAAAAAAAUAUUAAAUUACAAGAAACUUUAUUAACAAAAUUUUUCACACAUUAAAAACUUUAAUAUUUAUAUUUCUUCCGUCCCUCUCAUUUCUUUACAGUUUUUUUUAACUGCUCGACACGCAUUUUAAGAUUCUUAUAAAACAUAGUUUUGUAAUUUACUUUUGAGAUUUUCUUUUUGUGUAUAAAAGUUCAAACAUCAAAUAUUUAUUAAAAAAAAGAUUAAAAAAUAAGUUGCGGAACUAUAUUUUCUAAGAGCAUUAGAAUGCGCGCCAAACCCUUGUCCCCAAGGUAAGCUACCUAGGGGAACAGAGGGAGUAACAGAAUGCGAAUCACUAAAAAUUCAAAAAAGACUGGCAUUUCUGACUUCUGACUUCAAAAACAUAAAAUAAGCCCUUCUACUUUUUUUUUCUCCAAACAAUACCUAACAAGCGAAACAACUUAAAAUACUAAAAGAAGUGUUUACUAUUUUGCCUUUGUAUAGCAUGAAGUUACAAAUAAAUUUUUAGGUGGUGUUUGACGGCGGCUCUUAAGUCUGACUUCAGUAUUUAUAAUUUAGAAGCACUUAUUCGUAUCGUCUGUGUAAAAAGUUAUGGAGUCCUUAUAAAAGUUGAGUUUUAUAAGAAUCCUAAUUUUUGUUUAAUGACUUCCACUUCUUUCCCAAACACUUUAAUCACUUAUAAGUGUUAACUUGUUUCUAACUUUUUUUCACUUCUUUACUUUAAACAAAAAAUUAUUUAUUUAAUUUCACCCAAAGCCCCCUUAAUAUUAUUUUUAUAAAUUGUAUUUAUGAUGUAAAUUACACUAUGAAGCAAUAAUAAAAUUAAUUUCUGAAAAACAAAUAACAAAUUUUACAGAAACGAACAAAUAUAAUGAGACAAAGUGAGUAUCUUUUAAGAUACGAAAAUAUUGAACAUGACAGCUUAUUAUAUUGCUGAUAUAUAAAGACAGUGAGUGGAGUGGGAUGACUUCCUACCUUUCAUCGAACAUGCCAAUAAUUUAAAACAACCACGACAUUAUCAGGGUGCUAAUCAUACAAUUAUAUGAAGAAGAAGAAACUAAUCAUGGUGCUCUGCUCUCAUGCAACUAUGAACAUAAAAUUAGUCAAGCCUAAUGUUCAAAAUUAUGUGCAACUUAAUAUAAAUAGACAUUUUGCAUGUGAGAAAAUAUUUCACUAAAACUGAUCCAUGAAGUUUUAUUGCACACAAAUUUAGAAGUGGUGAUAUUAUCUGAAGAAACAGAACCUUAUUCAUAUAGAGAAAUGGAAGUUUAUGGCUUCAUCUAGUACAUUUUAGUUCUUGAGAAGAAGAACCAGUUUGUCCAAAUUAAGAGAAGAUGAGCCAUUAGGUGCACAGGCCUGCUCAGCCAUUUCCUUCAACUUGAUAGCCUUGUUUCUCAUUCUCUUGCCCUCAAUUCCAUCCAUCAAUUGUCGAACAAGUUUCUCCACAUCGUCUCUUCUGACGUCGUUAGGAAUCUCCAGUCCGCACUCCCAUAUGUCACGCAAGAACUUGCAGUUUAUUUGUUGAUCUGCAAAGAAAGGCCAACAGAGCAUUGGCACUCCCGCGGAUAUGCUCUCUAUAAUUGAGUUCCACCCUCCAUGCGUCAAGAAGCCUCCCACAGACGCGUGGUUGAGGACAUCUUCCUGUGGACACCAACUUGCUAUGAAGCCUCUGCCCUUGAUGGCAUCCAUAAAUUCAACUCCCAAUGUAUUACUAUUUGUCGAUUCACCCACGAUCAGGUCGGGCCUGAUUAUCCACAAGAAGCAGAAGUUGCUAUUGGCAAGCCCCCAGCCAAACUCCUUAAGCUGCUCUGCAGACAGGACUGUUAUGCUUCCAAAGUUGACAUAAACAACAGAAUCAGCUUCUUUAGAAUCCAGCCACUGAAGACAUGUUUUUUCCUCUUCCCAAAGAUUAUAUCCAAUGCUCUGCAGACCCUCUUUCUGAUCUAAUGGUAUUUGGUUGAGGAGCAUCUGUUGAGGGCCUAUUGUGUAUACUUUGGG
rnacentral:lncRNA from 1 species